CAGUAGUAAUCAACACUUAAUUCAAACUUUAUGAUCAUCUGUGUUUUUUAUGUUGCUAGAAUUGGAAGCAAAAGAUAAAGAAACUUUUUUUUUUUUUUUUUUUUCAAAGCAAUUGCAAAGUGCUGACUGAAUAGGCCUGGUGAAUGAAGAGAAGCAAAGAGGCAGAAGUACUCCAAACUGCUCUGUUACAUCCAAACAAUAUUCUUCAGUUCAGUUAGAGCCAUGUACCUCAGCUGGGUCUGUUCCUGGUUCUGCUGUGCACGUGCCGAGAACCCUAACAUGGGAUUGGCUCAGAGAGAGGCAUAGAGAAGAGACCUACCAGCAAUGACUGAAGAUUGAGUAAAGGAUUACUUGCAAGCAUCUCGCCUGUACAACUCCAUGUUACCUUUUCAAAACAAAGGCAAAUAUUUAGGUAAAUAUAUAUUUAGUUUUUUUUUUUUACCAUACUCAAGUAUGGUGAAGUCUAAAC
rnacentral:lncRNA from 1 species